UAAUAACAGGGAAUGGUAUAAAUAUAAUGCUGCUGGCUCAGAAUUUUAUAUUUUUUGUAGGGGAAUGCAGACCAUGUCUACCUCUCCCAGGAUAUACUCCAGCAUUCCUAGCCUGUGCUGAGUGUCAGCUCCUGUGAUAAACACCAGGAGGCAGUACUCUCCUCAAACCCGCCACCAGGGAGAUAUGUCAUUAUUACAUCUUUAGAAAAAACAAGUGAUGAGGGCGACUUCCUGAUCCGAAUUCUAGCCGAGAAGGGCAGGUGUUCUGUGCUAGGUAAUAUUUUUCUAAGAAAAAAUAAAGUAAAACAAGCAGGAAAAGUGGUGAAACCACAGCCCUGGAAAAGAAAAGCCAAAAGUGGAACACAAAUCACAAAAUUGAGAACACCGGGUAAAAAGAGACCCACGGCAGCAAGGCAGCAUGUGGUGAAACUGCGGGUUUGAUGGUUGGCACAGGAAGCUGUACUUCCUGCCAAAACAACAGAAAUGCAUAAGAAUGGGCUGAGGGCAAGGUUGGAUGUAACAGUUGCUUAAAGGAGAAGGAAUAUCAUUUUACACUUGCGGGUGCCAAACGUUAGACACAGUAAGUGAUUACUUUUUCUUAGCUGACAACCUGGGCCAUUGCACCUAUCAGCAGAAAAUCGGCUAGGAGUUCUUCUAGUGAACACCACAAAGUG